UAUGCGUUCAGCAGCAUGGCAUGGCUGCUCACGACUUCGGUCGUCUUAUUUAAUUGCAGCUGAGUAUGUGUUCCCAUGGUUAUUUUACCCUUUCAUGUCUUGUCAUAAAUAAACAGAAAACUGUUUAUUGUUGUUUACUUUGGACCUGGCAAGACAAGGGUAACGUCUGCCCGUGUACGCAGCAUUGAGGCAGAACAAUUAUACAGGUUCUCAAUUAAAAUGAAUACAAAAUGACACAGAAAAAAUGAUAUCCGUUUCAAACUAACUUUUUGAAUAAUUAUUGCAAGAAGAUAGAUUGUUAUGGUGCAUGCAACUCUUUGCAGUAUUCAAUUUGAUGUAUCACGCUACAUUAAAGUUUCAAAAUGAA